ACUGUCUUGGCAGAUAAUAUGCUCUAGACUUAGGAUCUAGUUAAAUAGAAAUUAAUUCUAUAGAUAGUA
rnacentral:tRNA from 1 species